UACAGAGGUCUCAAGCGUUGUUCGGAUUCAUUGGGCGUAAAGGGUGCGUAGGCGGCGCGGUAGGUCGGGUGUGAAAUCUCGGAGCUUAACUCCGAAACUGCAUUCGAUACUGCGGUGCUUGAGGACUGGAGAGGAGACUGGAAUUCAUGGUGUAGCAGUGAAAUGCGUAGAGAUCAUGAGGAAGACCAGUGGCGAAGGCGGGUCUCUGGACAGUUCCUGACACUGAGGCACGAAGGCCAGGGGAGCAAACGGG
rnacentral:rRNA from 1 species